rnacentral:piRNA from 1 species
UGCUGAUGGUAUACUAGAUGCAAGAGUUUGU